rnacentral:tRNA from 1 species
CCUGGCAGCUGAGUCAGUAAAGAAUCUGCCUGCAAUGCAGAAGACCUGGGUUAGAUCCCUGGGUCAGGA